UACGAGUGCCUCAAGCGUUAUCCGGAAUCAUUGGGCGUAAAGGUUGUGUAGGUGGUUGUAUUAGUCUUCUGUUAAAUUCUUCGGCUUAACCGGGGGCAUGCAGGGGAAACGGUACGACUAGAGGAUGCGAGGGGUCUGUGGAAUUCAUAGUGUAGCGGUAAAAUGCGUUGAUAUUAUGGAGAACACCAAAAGCGAAGGCAGCAGACUGGAGCACUCCUGACACUGAAACAAGAAAAGCGUGGGUCGCGAAUGGG
rnacentral:rRNA from 1 species